GGGUCAGUAGGUUGGUCGUGCCACCGGUACGUACUGGUCUCACUGAUUACUCCUUCCUGAAGAACCGUAAUGCCAUUAAUUUGGUGUUGCGGGGAAACAGGACUGUUACUUUGAAAAAAUUAGAGUGUUUAAAGCAAGCUAACGCUUGAAUACAUUAGCAUGGAAUAAUGAAAUAGGACGAUCGAUCCUAUUUUGUUGGUCUCUAGGAUUUACGUA
rnacentral:rRNA from 1 species